AACGAACGCUGGCGGCAUGCCUAACACAUGCAAGUCGAACGAGACCUUCGGGUCUAGUGGCGCACGGGUGCGUAACGCGUGGGAACCUGCCCUUAGGUUCGGAAUAACUCCCCGAAAGGGGUGCUAAUACCGGAUAAUGUCUUCGGACCAAAGAUUUAUCGCCUUUGGAUGGGCCCGCGUUGGAUUAGCUAGUUGGUAGGGUAAAAGCCUACCAAGGCGACGAUCCAUAGCUGGUCUGAGAGGAUGAUCAGCCACACUGGGACUGAGACACGGCCCAGACUCCUACGGGAGGUAGCAGUGGGGAAUAUUGGACAAUGGGCGAAAGCCUGAUCCAGCAAUGCCGCAUGAGUGAUGAAGGCCUUAGGGUUGUAAAGCUCUUUUACCCGGGAUGAUAAUGACAGUACCGGGAGAAUAAGCUCCGGCUAACUCCGUG
rnacentral:rRNA from 1 species